AUUUAAAUAGCUUAAAUAAGAGCAUAAUAGUGAAGUUAUUAUGGUGAUUUUUAUAAUCUUUAAAUA
rnacentral:tRNA from 1 species